rnacentral:rRNA from 1 species
UACGGGGGGUGCGAGCGUUGUCCGGAUUUAUUGGGCGUAAAGAGCUCGUAGGCGGCUUGUUGCGUCGACUGUGAAAACCCACGGCUCAACUGUGUGGUCUGCAGUCGAUACGGGCAAGCUAGAGUUCGGUAGGGGAGACUGGAAUUCCUGGUGUAGCGGUGAAAUGCGCAGAUAUCAGGAGGAACACCGGUGGCGAAGGCGGGUCUCUGGGCCGAUACUGACGCUGAGGAGCGAAAGCGUGGGGAGCGAACAGG